UACGUAGGGGGCGAGCGUUGUCCGGAAUUAUUGGGCGUAAAGAGCUCGUAGGCGGCUUGGCAAGUCGGAUGUGAAAACUCCAGGCUCAACCUGGAGCCGCCAUUCGAUACUGCUAUGGCUAGAGUCCGGUAGGGGAGUGUGGAAUUCCCGGUGUAGCGGUGAAAUGCGCAGAUAUCGGGAGGAACACCGAUGGCGAAGGCAGCACUCUGGGCCGAUACUGACGCUGAGGAGCGAAAGCGUGGGGAGCGAACAGG
rnacentral:rRNA from 1 species